rnacentral:rRNA from 1 species
UACGUAGGGGGCAAGCGUUGUCCGGAAUCAUUGGGCGUAAAGCGCGCGUAGGCGGCCCGGUAAGUCCGCUGUAAAAGUCCAGGGCUCAACCCUGGAAUGCCGGUGGAUACUGUCGGGCUAGAGUACGGAAGAGGCAAGUGGAAUUCCUGGUGUAGCGGUGGAAUGCGCAGAUAUCAGGAGGAACACCUAUAGCGAAGGCAGCUUGCUGGGACGUUACUGACGCUAAGGCGCGAAAGCGUGGGGAGCGAACAGG